CGAAAACCUGAAAGCAAAGAACGAGUCAGUUUUCGAGUGAAUUUCCAGGUAAAUAGGGUAUAGUUGCGGCAACUCGUUUGCAACUCCGCGUUAUUGUUGUUGUUUUUUAAGUGAUUGGUGAAAAAAUUCCUAUCGAUGUAUAUAUUUAUUAGAUGCAAAAAUCUAUAGUGUUAAACUAAUAUUUCCGUUAACGAAAAUUGUGAGUCUGAAGUGCCUACCGAAAGGGGCGGUGGCUGCGGUUUCGUGAGAUUAAGAAAAAUAUGUAAUAAGAAAUUUAAUAGUGGAGCAUUUAAUGGAAGACGGGUGAAUCACACUCAUACAUAUACAUAAGUAUAUACGUUGAUAAAUACAAUUGCACACCUGCGAACGGUGGUGUGAAUUGGGGAAACAUCGAAACAAAAGUAUAUACAAUAAAAGAGCAUAAAAACAACUACAAAAGAGAAUUGCCGAUUGCAAUUCCUCCAUACAAAUGUGCAAAUUUUCUUGCGUAUCUCCUGAGACAAAUAUUACGAUUUUUAUCUGAAAAAUUAUAAGUGAUUGUGUUUAUUUCUGACUAUUUCAAUUAAGAACAAAAUAACAUGUUAAGUUGCAAAAUUUUGUUUUUUUUCAAAACAUCCAUCGAAUUGUUAUUUUCUUAAAAUUUUGAAAGCAAUUCAUAAAAUGGGUUAAAUAAUUUUAUAUUAAAAAAUGCUAAAUAGUGGAAUAUGUGUUUAAUAUUCUCUUUGAUUUGUUCUUAUUUGCAAAUUAAAAAAUUUGAGUGAAAUGCUAAAUUUUCUGUAAAAAAUCAUUGUGGAAGUUGUAAACAUAGAGACAAAAGCAAAAUAAAACAAACCGAAAAACUAAUUAUCACAAAAUAAAUUUUUGUUUAUUAUACUACCGACAUAUACAUAUGCACGAUUGUAUUUUAUGUAGUAUUGGUGUAACAACUAAUUAAACAAAUCGCAAUCUAAUACCACAAAUAACUUUUUUAUUUGAUUGAUAUUUUUAAUACAAUAGCAUAGCUGAAAUCUAUUUUUCAUAAAUUCUUUGCCAAGACUUCAAUUAGCUUGUGAGGAAGACUAAAUAACGUUUUUUUUAAAUUAUUUUUGUUCUUAAAAGGUUGUUACCUAAAUCCAAAAUUUACCAAGCGCGUACUCUUUGUAAACUAUAUUUAUCAAUACAUUCCUCUCUUAAACCGCUACCCUCUUAACUUUUUCUUUGUGAACGUACUUCAAUAAAUGCCCGAAAAGGUAACGAAAAUAAAAACAACAAGGAAUAAUUCUACUUAUAUGUAAAUAGCAGCAUAUGCCUUAGCUUGUUGUUAUUGUUCUCGUAAAGUGGUCACCGCUUUGAAGGCGAAUGCAGUGAAACAACGCAACCACUAGCUCAUCGUCACACAUUCCAAAGCAUAUGGAGUAAAUCCAAAAAGAAAUAUACCUACAUACAUAUAUUCAGUUUCAGCUUUAUUACCAGUUUACUUUACAUAUUUUCUUUCCGGUCUUACCUGCAACUUGUUAUAGCGUCAUCGGGUUCUACCUGCGCGCCGCAGUGCUUCGCUUUAUCACAUACGCACGCUUAUGCAUGCAUGCAUGCAUUUAAGCUUGUGUGAAUUCGAAAUUACUCUUUAAUCCGCCUGCAUUUAUUGUCGGCGCGAUUGUUGUGUUCUACCCCACCAAAAAAAAAAAACAAAAAAAAAUUAGUAGGUAGUGAAUAUAUACUUUGGCAAAAAUACUGAAUUUUUGCGAAUAACACUUACAAUUGAAGAGUGCGAAUUGAACAAAAACAUAUUUUUGGAUACCAAAGCUUACUGUUUUGUGGAUUUACUACCCGGCCUUGACAAAUGGACGAAGCAGCAGAAAGUGUCAACAAGAUGAGUUGGGGAACGCAACUUUGGGUAAGUUUCAAGUACUAAUGGAACCAAUUUAACGAAGAGGUCUGGUGAGGCUGUAAUAUUUUUUUUUUUUAAUUUCUAAAGUAUUUUAUCUCCUUUGAGCUCUAAAACAACUGUCUGAACAGAUUUGUAAAGAAUUAUAUUUGAUAAAUUUUUAAAUGAAAAAA
rnacentral:lncRNA from 1 species